GACGAACGCUGGCGGCGUGCCUAAUACAUGCAAGUAGAACGCAGUUGCGAACGGGUGAGUAACGCGUAGGUAACUGCAGCAUAGCGGGGGAUAACUAUUGGAAACGAUAGCUAAUACCGCAUACUGUGAGAUGGACCUGCGUUGUAUUAGCUAGUUGGUGAGGUAAAGGCUCACCAAGGCGAAGAUACAUAGCAGACCUGGGAGGGUGAGUUAGCAACCUGGGACUGAGAAACCGGCCAGACACCGUCGGGAGGCAGCAGUUGGGAAGCUUUGGACAUGGGCGGAAGUCUGGACUAACAACGCCGGGUGAUUGAAGAAGGUGUUCGGAUUGUAAAACUCUGUUGAUAGAGAAGCGGUAACUAACCAGAAAGGUACGGCUAACUACGUGCCAGCAGCCGCGGUAAUUC
rnacentral:rRNA from 1 species